AAACUGGAGAGUUUGAUCCUGGCUCAGAACGAACGCUGGCGGCGUGCCUAACACAUGCAAGUCGUACGAGAAAUCCCGGGCAACUGGGAGAGUAAAGUGGCGCACGGGUGAGUAACGCGUGGGUAACCUGCCCCUGAGUUGGGGAUAACCUCGCGAAAGCGGGGCUAAUACCGUAUGACGUUACAGUCCCUACGGGGAUUGUAAUGAAAGGUGGCCUCUGCAUGCAAGCUACUGCUCAGGGAUGGGCCCGCGUACCAUUAGCUAGUUGGUAGGGUAAUGGCCUACCAAGGCGACGAUGGUUAGCUGGUCUGAGAGGACGGCCAGCCACACUGGAACUGAGACACGGUCCAGACUCCUACGGGAGGCAGCAGUGGGGAAUCUUGCGCAAUGGGGGAAACCCUGACGCAGCGACGCCGCGUGGGUGAUGAAGGCCUUCGGGUCGUAAAGCCCUGUCAGGUGGGAAGAAACAUGUUGAUGUGAAUAACAUCAACAUCUGACGGUACCACCAGAGGAAGCACCGGCUAACUCCGUGCCAGCAGCCGCGGUAAUACGGAGGGUGCAAGCGUUGUUCGGAAUCACUGGGCGUAAAGCGCGUGUAGGCGGUUGAGCAAGUCAGAUGUGAAAUCCUUCCGCUCAACGGGAGAAGUGCAUUUGAAACUACUCAACUAGAGUACGGGAGAGGAGAGUGGAAUUCCCGGUGUAGAGGUGAAAUUCGUAGAUAUCGGGAGGAACACCGGUGGCGAAGGCGGCUCUCUGGCCCGAUACUGACGCUGAGGCGCGAAAGCGUGGGGAGCAAACAGGAUUAGAUACCCUGGUAGUCCACGCCGUAAACGUUGGGCACUAGGUGUGGGAGGUAUUGACCCCUUCCGUGCCGAAGCUAACGCAUUAAGUGCCCCGCCUGGGGAGUACGGCCGCAAGGUUAAAACUCAAAGGAAUUGACGGGGGCCCGCACAAGCGGUGGAGCAUGUGGUUCAAUUCGACGCAACGCGAAGAACCUUACCUGGGCUUGACAUGCUGGUGGUAGAAACCCGAAAGGGGGACGACCCCGGCUUGCCGGGGAGCCAGCACAGGUGCUGCAUGGCUGUCGUCAGCUCGUGUCGUGAGAUGUUGGGUUAAGUCCCGCAACGAGCGCAACCCUCAUCCUUAGUUGCCAUCAUUGAGUUGGGCACUCUAAGGAAACUGCCUCGGUUAACGGGGAGGAAGGUGGGGACGACGUCAAGUCAUCAUGGCCUUUAUGCCCAGGGCUACACACGUGCUACAAUGGGCGGUACAAAGGGUUGCAAUACCGCGAGGUGGAGCUAAUCCCAAAAAACCGCUCUCAGUUCAGAUUGGAGUCUGCAACUCGACUCCAUGAAGGCGGAAUCGCUAGUAAUCGCGGAUCAGCAUGCCGCGGUGAAUACGUUCCCGGGCCUUGUACACACCGCCCGUCACACCAUGGGAGCUGACUGUACCAGAAGUCGCUGGGCUAACCCCGAGUAACCCUUGGGGAGGCAGGCGCCUAAGGUAUGGUUGGUGACUGGGGUGAAGUCGUAACAAGGUAGCCGUAGGGGAACCUGCGGCUGGAUCACCUCCUUUCUA
rnacentral:rRNA from 1 species